rnacentral:rRNA from 1 species
UGCCAGCCGCCGCGGUAAUACGGGGGGUGCAAGCGUUGUUCGGAAUCACUGGGCGUAAAGCGCGUGUAGGCGGUUUGGCAAGUCUGGUGUGAAAGCCCGGGGCUCAACCCCGGAAGGGCACUGGAAACUACCAAGCUAGAGUACCGGAGAGGAGGGUGGAAUUCCUGGUGUAGCGGUGAAAUGCGUAGAUAUCAGGAGGAACACCGGUGGCGAAAGCGAUACUCUGGCUCGUCCCUGACGCUGAGGCGCGAAAGCGUGGGUAGCAAACAGGAUUAGAUA